GCACGAACUUAGCCCGUCCUUCCUCCUAGGAUAGGUCAAACCGGUGAGAUUACCCACCGGCCAUUCCUCCCCUACGACAGCGGUUUACGACCCGAGGGCCUUCAUCCCGCACGCGGCGUCGCUCGGUCAGGCUUGCGCCCAUUGCCGAAGAUUCUCGACUGCAGCCACCCGUAGGUGUCUGGGCAGUGUCUCAGUCCCAGUGAUGCGGGUCGUGCUCUCACACCCGCUACCCAUCUUUGCCUUGGUGGGCCGUUACCCCGCCAACUAGCUAAUAGGACGCAGGCCCAUCUAAGGGCGGAAUCACACCUUUGGACGAUGACUUUCAUCACCGACGUCAUCGGGUAUUAAUCGCAGUUUCCCGCGGCUAUCCCCGACCCCAAGGUAGGUACCUACGUGUUACUAUCCCUUUCGCCGCUCGAGUACCCCCCACCCAGCACUCGCACCAAAUCUCUAGAAGACGGGGUCUCCGAAGAGACGGUCUUCCAAAGACAGGCGAGAGCGACAGGGUGGGGGGCCUUUCCGCACGACUUGCAUGCCUAAUCCACGCCGCCAACGUUCACUCUGAGCCAGGAUCAAACUCUA
rnacentral:rRNA from 1 species